GAUGAACGCUAGCGGCAGGCCUCUCAGGUGCAAGUCGAGGGGUAACAGAGAGUGCUUGCACUUUGCUGACGACCGGCGCACGGGUGCGUAACGCUCAUACAAUCUACCUUGUACUGGGGGAUAGCCUUUAGAAAUGAAGAUUAACACCCCAUAGUAUGUCGACCUCGCAUGGGGAUGACAUUAAAGGUUACGGUACAAGAUGAGUAUGCGUCCUAUUAGCUAGAUGGUGUGGUAACGGCACACCAUGGCAACGAUAGGUAGGGGCCCUGAGAGGGGGAUCCCCCACACUGGUACUGAGACACGGACCAGACUCCUACGGGAGGCAGCAGUGAGGAAUAUUGGACAAUGGAGGCAACUCUGAUCCAGCCAUGCCGCGUGCAGGAAGACUGCCCUAUGGGUUGUAAACUGCUUUUAUACAGGAAGAAACCGCUCUACGUGUAGAGCUCUGACGGUACUGUAAGAAUAAGGAUCGGCUAACUCCGUG
rnacentral:rRNA from 1 species